rnacentral:rRNA from 1 species
AGUGAACGCUGGCGGUAGGCCUAACACAUGCAAGUCGAACGGCAGCACAGUAAGAGUUUGCUCUUACGGGUGGCGAGUGGCGGACGGGUGAGGAAUACAUCGGAAUCUACUUUUUCGUGGGGGAUAACGUAGGGAAACUUACGCUAAUACCGCAUACGACCUACGGUUGAAAGCAGGGGAUCUUCGCACCUUGCGCGAUUGAACUAGCCGAUGUCGGAUUAGCUAGUUGGCGGGGUAAAGGCCCACCAAGGCGACGAUCCGUAGCUGGUCUGAGAGGAUGAUCAGCCACACUGGAACUGAGACACGGUCCAGACUCCUACGGGAGGCAGCAGUGGGGAAUAUUGGACAAUGGGCGCAAGCCUGAUCCAGCCAUACCGCGUGGGUGAAGAAGGCCUUCGGGUUGUAAAGCCCUUUUGUUGGGAAAGAAAAGCAGCAGGUUAAUACCCCGCUGUUCUGACGGUACCCAAAGAAUAAGCACCGGCUAACUUCGUG